rnacentral:rRNA from 1 species
GACGAACGCUGGCGGCGUGCUUAACACAUGCAAGUCGAACGGAAAGGCCCUGCUUUUGUGGGGUGCUCGAGUGGCGAACGGGUGAGUAACACGUGAGUAACCUGCCCUUGACUUUGGGAUAACUUCAGGAAACUGGGGCUAAUACCGGAUAGGAGCUCCUGCUGCAUGGUGGGGGUUGGAAAGUUUCGGCGGUUGGGGAUGGACUCGCGGCUUAUCAGCUUGUUGGUGGGGUAGUGGCUUACCAAGGCUUUGACGGGUAGCCGGCCUGAGAGGGUGACCGGCCACAUUGGGACUGAGGUACGGCCCAGACUCCUACGGGGGGCAGCAGUGGGGAAUAUUGCACAAUGGGCGGAAGCCUGAUGCAGCAACGCCGCGUGCGGGAUGACGGCCUUCGGGUUGUAAACCGCUUUCGCCUGUGACGAAGCGUGGGUGACGGUAAUGGGUAAAGAAGCACCGGCUAACUACGUG